UACCGGAAAGUUUUGUCCGUACUUUCGCAAUGAGUUUCAAUAGAAAUCCUCGCUCUUAAGGAACAUAUUAACAGUCUUAAAGACGACUUGUUCAAAACCACGAAUAUUCAAAGGUUAUCUCAAACCAAAAUCAAAGGUAUCGAGAACCACGGCUCGAAUUAACCCUGUUCAGCGGGGCUGCCUGUUUAUGCGAAAAAUAUCUUAAGACUAGAUUUUUAUAUGAAAAACUGCCAUCAAGUUGUAUAUCAACCAAAAUGUGCGCGUAAUGGAAAAAUUAAGACAACCCGAAUAAUUAUUAAAAAAGAAAGCACUUAGUAAUUGAUUUGUGAAAUAAAAAAAGAAGUAACUGAAUAAGAACAAAACGUUAUUUAUUGCUUUGACAUCAAAACUUUACGAAAAAUUUUUCGAUAUGCAUUGGAAAAAAAUUGUCUGCAUUUUAACAAGAAGAAGCUUGGAAUUUUUGCUUGCAACGAGAAACGAAGAUAGUCUGCAAAUUGCUUUUCAUUUUAUCGAAAUUACACAUCAUUUCCGAAAGCAAACCGAUAUUCUCUUCUCUCUUGGUUUUUAAUCAAGUGCGCUACGGCAAUCUCGACGUCAUCCCAAUCAUAAUCGUCACUACCCGCGAUUCAUUGUACUACGUGAAAAGAUAAACAUAACACAACAACAACACCUAAUAAAUGAACGUUUAGCGGCGAACAUUUUGGGGAUAGUCGUUUCUCCAUUAACUUUGUAUCCUUUGAGAUUUAUUUAAAAUCUUAUUUGCUGGAAAUAACACC